UACAGAGGUGGCGAGCGUUGUUCGGAUUUACUGGGCGUAAAGGGUGCGUAGGCGGUUCUGUGUGUCGGAUGUGAAAUCUCGCUGAAAACGGCGAAACGGCAUUCGAAACUACAGGGCUAGAGUGCAGGAGAGGAUGGCGGAAUUCUCGGUGUAGCGGUGAAAUGCGUUGAUAUCGAGAGGAACGCCGGUGACGAAGGUGGCCAUCUGGACUGCAACUGACGCUGAGGCACGAAAGCUAGGGGAGCAAACA
rnacentral:rRNA from 1 species